UUAUCUAGAAACCCGUGAAAACCCACAGCCCCAAUUCUCCCUCUCUCUAUCAAUCCUCACACGCAAGAACUCAUUCCCUUCAAACUCUCUCUUAACAGUCAACUUCUUAAGCAUCCAACCACUCAUCGCCUUCUGUUCGACGGCAGUGCCUCCGACUACUGUUUGUCUCUGCCGACGCUCGUCGUCAGGUCGUCUUCGUCCAGUCACCGGGUACCGCCGCUCUUUCUCUCCCUCUCUUUCUCCCUCUAUCUCAUACAUACGCAUGCAACACAGAAGAGAACAUCGUUGCAUCGUUGCAUUCCCUUCUUGUUGCGCCGUCGAAGUUGAACCCCCCCUCACUGGUCAGCUUUGGAUUGGAGUUUUAGAGGCUUUUGAGGUGGUGUCCGACAAGAUUAAGAUUGUUCAAAUUUCUUUUUGGGUAAGUUUUAGGGGUUUUGUUGAUCUUCUCGACCUGAUCUUGAAUGUCCAUUUAAUGUAGGUCUAAUUUUAUGUUGCCCACAAUAUUCAUGCUUUAAAUUGAGUUAAGCUCGAGCUAUCCAACACCUUUAAAGGUUGUUUUUGGUUGAAGUCCUCAAUCAAAAUUUGUAGUUUUGGAUCAAGAAACAAUUUGGGUUUGAUUCAAGAUUUAUAUAAAGUGGUUGACUAGGAUAAAUAUUUGAGCUUAUAUCCGAGGUAAGUGCCUUUACUACUAGAAUGCCUUCGUGCCAGGCAUUUUAGUUCCUUAGUUUUAGUUGGAAAUAAGCAAAUUUAGAAGCAUGUAUUAGACCUCAAGAAUUUGAUGUAUGUUAAAUGAUUCAGUUAUGUUCAUGUCAGAACCAUGGAAAUGUUCUAAUCACUAUGAUGUGGGACCCUAGAUAAAUGUUUUAUGAUUCAUGUUCAAUGGUGACAAUUUCCCUUCUAACACUAGCAAGUUUUUGUGAUCUUUCGGGUUCACUAUUAUGUUAUCGAGAGCUGAUGGGUUCCCUACCAUGUUACCAUGAUCCUUCGGGUUCAUUAGCAUGUUCAGCAUCGUGAUCCUUGGGCUCACUACCAUGUUUAGCUCCGGGGACUGACGUGUUUCCUAGCAUGUUUCUAUGGUUUCAAGCCACCAGAUACGUAUUAGAAUGUGUUUAAUUGUUCACUAGAUGACCAUCCAUGUUUUCAUGUUUCCAAGUGUUCAUGGUCUCAUGUUUCUUUGAUGAAUUACAAUAUAUUUGUCCCACCAAUAUGCAUUUGCAUAUAUGUAUGCAUAGCCUGACCCCAACAGUAUGGUUACUUAUUGAGUAUUUUAUAUUCAUCCUUUAUUAUGAUAUAUUUUCCAGGUAAGGGCAAAAUACUCUAACGAAUGACAAUAAUAAUUUGUGAUCGUGUCAAUGGGACUAGCUAAACGCUUCUGCACGUGUUCUUUUUCAUGUUCUCGUGUUAUAGUUGUUAGCAGUCUAAUAUUUGGAGUUUUUAAUUAUUUUUUAAUUUUAAACUUAUGUUUUUAGGGGGACCCCGAGAAAGUGUUUUAUGUUCUUUAAACCAAGUGGAUUAUUUUGUUUGUUCAUUUCUUGUAAUAAAUAAUUUGUUUCUUUCCA